rnacentral:rRNA from 1 species
UACGUAGGUGGCAAGCGUUGUUCGGAAUUAUUGGGCGUAAAGGGCGCGUAGGCGGUUUGUUAAGUCAGCUGUGAAAGCCCGGGGCUCAACCCCGGAGAGUCGACUGAUACUGGCAGACUAGAGUACGGAAGAGGUAGCUGGAAUUCCCGGUGUAGCGGUGAAAUGCGUAGAUAUCUGGAGGAACACCCGUGGCGAAGGCGGUUCUCUGGGACGGUACUGACGCUGAGACGCGAAAGCGUGGGGAGCGAACAGG